GGCCGGGAGCGAAGGUCUCGCGAGGCUUGGGCGCUGCGGCGGUAGGAGGACGGGGAAGGACGGAGCCGAGCCACGGCUGCCUCCCUCGCUCUCUCCCUCGAGCGCUCGCCCGCCCCCUCCCUCCCUCCCCUCCCUUCCCCGGCCCCGGCUCCGGCCUCGGCCCGUUCGCUGUUCGGUCUUCUGCAGGGAGAAUGUCGGGCUCGUCGCUCCCCAGCGCCCUGGCCCUCUCGCUGUUGCUGGUCUCUGGCUCCCUCCUCCCAGGGCCAGGCGCCGCUCAGAACGCUGGGUUUGUCAAGUCGCCCAUGUCAGAAACUAAGCUCACUGGGGACGCCUUUGAGCUGUACUGUGACGUGGUCGGGAGCCCCACGCCAGAGAUCCAGUGGUGGUACGCAGAAGUCAACCGGGCAGAGUCUUUCAGACAGCUGUGGGACGGUGCUCGGAAGCGCCGUGUCACCGUAAACACCGCCUACGGGUCAAACGGCGUGAGUGUGCUGAGAAUAACCCGGCUCACCUUGGAGGACUCUGGGACUUACGAGUGCAGGGCCAGCAACGACCCCAAGAGGAAUGACUUGAGGCAAAACCCUUCCAUAACAUGGAUUCGAGCCCAGGCCACCAUAAGCGUCCUUCAGAAGCCAAGGAUUGUCACCAGUGAAGAAGUCAUUAUUCGAGAAAGCCCUGCGCCCCCUGUCACCCUGCAGUGUAACCUCACCUCCAACUCUCACACCCUUACAUACAGCUACUGGACAAAGAAUGGGGUAGAACUGACUGCCACUCGUAAGAAUGCCAGCAACAUGGAAUACAGGAUCAAUAAACCGAGAGCUGAGGAUUCAGGCGAAUACCACUGUGUAUAUCACUUUCUCAGUGCUCCUAAAGCAAAUGCCACCAUUGAAGUAAAAGCUGCUCCUGACAUCACUGGCCAUAAACGGAGUGAGAACAAGAAUGAAGGGCAGGAUGCCAUGAUGUACUGCAAGUCAGUUGGCUACCCCCACCCAGAGUGGAUCUGGCGCAAGAAGGAGAACGGUAUGCCCAUGGAGAUUGUCAAUACCUCUGGCCGCUUCAUCAUCAUCAAUAGGGAGAAUUACACUGAGCUGAGCAUCACAAACCUGCAGAUCACAGAAGAUCCUGGCGAGUAUGAAUGUAAUGCUACCAACUCCAUUGGCUCUGCCUCCGUUGUCACCAUCCUCAGGGUACGGAGCCACCUGGCCCCACUCUGGCCCUUCCUGGGAAUUCUGGCAGAAAUCAUCAUCCUUGUGGUGAUCAUUGUUGUGUAUGAAAAGAGGAAGAGGCCAGAUGAAGUUCCUGACGAUCAUCAGGCAGAUUGAGCUUGAGGAGAAUCCAAGUCAAGCCUAGAAGCCACCCCAAGAUCGCAGGCCACCUGGCCUUUCAGGCAGAUUUAAGACGAUGAACCAGCUGGGCCAAUGAAAACCAACUCUACCAACAAUCACAAAGAUAAAAACUUGCGCCAGAGAAACACAAAUUAAGUACUACUUGUAACAUCCUGAGGUUCCUGAAACUGGUGGCAACAUGACCUGCUAAAUUUUCUGCUUGUACCUCUUUGGUUCUUUCCCUUUCAAGUGAGCAGCACCAUGAUGACUGUCUAAAGCAUGCCUUAUUUAGCCUCUCCUGUAAGGGUGACCUAGCCAGGUACAUUUUAAACAAUGCUUCAGUGUAGAAGGUGUAAACUAUUUUGGGCUUGAUGUGCUGUGAAUGUUGCUUUUUUUUUUUCCCCCCUUUGGUAGAAUAUUUAAAUAGAAGUAAAAAGGUCCUCUGAGGAUCAGAUCAUGCAUGCACCGUUUUUUACUUAAUGCAGCUGUUAAAUUGGCAAAGCUCUAAAAUGCACUGCUGCCAUCUAGUGACACAUUUUUGUAAAGUACAGCAAAACCUACAGAUAUAUACAGUAUAUAAAUAUAUAUAUAUAUUUAUAUUUUUGGGGUGGGAGAAAUCCAAAAUAAAAUAAAUGCUUGUUUCAUUUUUAAGCUGCUGAUACUCAUUCCUUAUAUGUUGUCAGAUGAGGAAACUGUUCAGUUCUGGUACAUAAAGAUGAGUAAUAUAAACUGAAAUCUAUAAUUUUAAGGGCUUAACCUAUGACUUUGAUAAGAAGCUGGAACAGUCCACUGAAUGGAUGUAAUGAACUGCAGUAUAUAUGUAUGAUUGCUUUUUAAGUGAUUAUUUUUUCUUUUGUUAAAUCAUGUAAAUUCUUAGAUCCUUUUGCACUGAUGUGUUGAACCUGAUUGUACAUUCAAUUAAGGCAAACUUUUAUAAUUUACCUUUUGUUUUCAAUGACCUUGAAAUGUUACAGCAUGGUAUUCUAUGCAACUAGUUAUACUUUGAGGUUGACACUGUAUUUUUUCAUUGAUUGAGUGUAGAUUUUCACACCCGGCAGGGUUCUCACACGGUGCGUAAUGGUAGAUGCAUGUACUUGUGUUUUGUGUAAUUGUUGAAGUGCAAUGAUGUAUAAAAAAGUGGAUUCACCUGUUUUUAAAAAUAAAACUGAUAAAAGGUG